rnacentral:rRNA from 1 species
AACUUAAAGGUAAUUGACGGGGGCCCGCACAAGCAGCGGAGCGUGUGGUUUAAUUCGAUGUUACACGAAGAACCUUACCCAGGUUUGACAUACAGGUGGUAGUGAUCCGAAAGGUGAGCGACCCGCAAGGGAGCCUGAACAGGUGCUGCAUGGCUGUCGUCAGCUCGUGUCGUGAGAUGUUCGGUUAAGUCCGCUAACGAGCGCAACCCUCGCUGUGUGUUACAAGUGUCACACGGGACCGCCGGUAUCAAGCCGGAGGAAGGUGGGGAUGACGUCAAGUCAGCAUGGCCUUUAUGACCAGGGCUACACACGUACUACAAUGGCAGGUACAAAGGGCAGCCACUUAGCGAUAAGGAGCGAAUCCCGUAAAACCUGUCUCAGUCCGGAUUGGAGUCUGCAACUCGACUCCAUGAAGUUGGAAUCGCUAGUAAUCGCAGAUCAGCACGCUGCGGUGAAUACGUUCCCGGGCCUU